ACAAAUUAUUUUAUUUCUUUCCAACAAUCCAAAAUGAAAGACUUUAUGGCUCACUUUGACUUCCUGGACAGAUGGGCACCACUAAUCACUGCCACUCAGAAGGAGAUCUCCAUUAGGCUGAACAGUUCUUAGCUAUCAUCUUUUUUGAAUCAUCAAAUGACCUAGUCUUCCCCUCACUUGGUGAUAUUUGGGUCUUCCACUUGAAGCUUAGUGCUGCUUGCCUUCUCUCAUUGUUUUGUUUUUCUUGCUACCAUUUGUAUUUAUGCUUCUUGGCUUGUUGAAAUUUUAUUUGCUUCUAUUGAUAUAUUGUUUAUGAUUCAAUUUAAAGAAAAGGUGAACCAGAGGUCUGAUGCAUUGGGGUAUUACUCAGCAACCUCAAAAAGGUGUGUUGCAGAUGCACUCUGUCAAAAUUGGUAUUGCGCUUUUAUGUGGUUUGUACAACUGCAGUGGAAGCCAGAGGUUGUGGGCAGCACGUGUCUUCUGUAGCAGAAAUUACCCAUAAUUCUAAGUCCCAGAGUGCUGUGCCAUUAAAAGACAGGGCUCUGCCAAGGUACAGACAACUUUGGAUCACAAAAGUAGUCAUUGGCAUCAUAAAUACAAAUAACAGUUAGGUUGCAAGUAUAGAGAAUUAGACCAGAAAGCCUGGAUCUCUGUACUAGACCAGGAUCCAUCUUUGUUCAUUAGAAUCCGUAUUGAAAAAACAGGCCUGAUUUUUAAAAAGCAACAGGAAAAGUUUGCAAAAUCCUUUGUCUCUGCCUGAAAGCAAAAAGGCUUGAAACAGACAUCUGUAUAAGCAGGGCUGAAUCAGAGGAAGCCCAUCCUUAGGAGGUAAUCUACUCAGAUGGUUUGAUGGCAGCUAAUAUGAUCUUGGGCAGGAUUUUAAAGAUAANAUUGACAAGCUAUUUGGCAUUCCAGACCAACCUAUUGUUAACAACAGAAUUGGAUAUUCUCAUUAAGAUUCUCAUUAAGAAUGCGAGACAGUAGCAUUGAAAUCUGAUUGGAAACUCAUUCCAACCAGAGUUUAGCUUUUGUUUAAGGUAAAGACUACCCAUUUAAGCCCAUCAACACGAUCCAGAGGUGUGUUCUUCCAACUGGGCACAUUCACUUGGGUGGGAGGAAGCAACAAAUAUGAACAACAGUGACACAAACACUACAUCAUUUGCCCUCUGCCCUUCACAUUUUGCCCACCAAAGCUUGCCCACUAAUGUCCAUUAAUGCAGUCUGUUAGUCCCACCUGUAGGUGGAACCUAGGAUUAGUGACAGCCCUCAGCUCCAGAUGCACAUAAAAAUGCACACCAGGAGCAGCAAGAUAUGAUUCGUCAUCACUUACCACAUCCACUAUAUGCUGUUGUCACUUUGAAGCUGCUUCUGUCAUGCUACUGUAAGAUGCUCCACUCCACUCCACUCCAUUUCACUCUGCUUUGCUUGCCUGCUGUCUCACUGCUUCAGCCUGAAACAGCUUCAUUGCCCUAAACUCUGAUCUGUGCAUUGGUUAGGCCACGGAACCAAAUAACUUUAUUCAUUACUUUGUUGAUAUAGAGUUGUGCUCUCUUGGAGCUCAGCAACUCUGCCGGAACUUUACCAGACUUUGGAACUUUCUUGCCAGCAACAAACCUAUGAACUUACGUCCCCGCUUUGCCUCUGAGGGUGAGAACUGGCUGCUUCUGGUCAAGCUAUGGUUGUCUUCUGUCAGGAUGUGGCAUAUUUAGGGCAGUUUUCCCCUUCCUUUCCUCUCUAUCAGCUCAUUCCAUUGGAUCUUGUCAAACCUGACCUGAUUUGACCUCUCCACUCAUAAAAGGCCGCUACUAUGGAGGUUUUUUGCCGUAUUUGACCCUUGUGCAUGUGCAGUACACUGUAAGAAGUGAGAUCUUAAUCUUUUACUAUAUAAGAAUGGCAUGCUGUACUGUAGCUUUGACAACUUUUCUGGUCAGCUGUUUGCUGUCAAAGCUGUCAUUUUUGUAUUUUUAUGCUGUUUCUGAGCUUUUCUUGCUAUUGUUAAUAAAGUUUGUGUUUUGAUUUGAC
ensembl:lncRNA